AAUAAAUACCAUCACUAAAAGUAUAAUAAUUAUAUUCUAAGAUUCUUGAGAAAGUACUUAACACCCACAAUAAUUUUCAAAAUCUUUCUACAUAUCAUAUGCUAUGAACAUUCAAAGUGAAAACCAUGGUCAUCAGCUUCGACGAGGGCAAUGUUUAUGAUGUCGACCGUUGCGUUGAACACUUGAAUGUGUUAAAAAUCAGAUAUCUGAGUACGUAGCAAUAUUAUGGUAUACAUACAAAAAGUUCCGAUAAAUAACAAAACCUCUGACAAAGAAACUCGGCAAUUACCGCAGUACCUAAUAACUAUAGCAGUAACUGCUUAUACACUGUCAAAUGUGGACUAAAUAUUUUAUGCAGCUUUUGAUCUGAAAAUAAUAAGUGGCGGCUAAAUUGAAUAAACAAUUAGGGACUUGACAGUCUUUAAUUUGACUAUACUACUAAGAUUGUAAAGAGAAACAGCUGGGUAAAUCCAGGACAACACCAACAGUAGAACAGCAGAAAUAAAAAAAACAACCCAUACAGCAAGACCAAAUGACAAGUACACAGCCACAAAACAUGGAAACAAAACAGUGAAAAACUAGAUCAAGACAAUAAACAGAAUACUAUUUGUUUAACAUAAAACCAGUUAGUUAAGCCUUUUCAUUGCAUAAUACUUUUUUUUACAUAUAUUAUAUUAGCAUAUUAUGGCAUAUUUUUUUACAUAAUAUGUCCCUACAGAAAUUCGGUAAAAAUAAUAAACAUUAUUUUAUAAGUACAGUGAAAAUAAUCAAUUUUAAUUUUGAAUCAUUCAUAAAUCAUUUAAUUUUCAUCUUAUAACUUUGA